AGAGUUUGAUCCUGGCUCAGAUUGAACGCUGGCGGCAGGCUUAACACAUGCAAGUCGAACGGUAACAGAAAGUAGCUUGCUACUUUGCUGACGAGUGGCGGACGGGUGAGUAAUGCUUGGGAAUAUGCCUUAUGGUGGGGGACAACAGUUGGAAACGACUGCUAAUACCGCAUAACAUCUCCGGAUCAAAGUGGGGGACCUUCGGGCCUCACGCCAUAAGAGUAGCCCAAGUGGGAUUAGCUAGUUGGUAAGGUAAUGGCUUACCAAGGCGACGAUCCCUAGUUGGUCUUAGAGGAUGACCAGCCACACUGGAACUGAGACACGGUCCAGACUCCUACGGGAGGCAGCAGUGGGGAAUAUUGCACAAUGGGCGCAAGCCUGAUGCAGCCAUGCCGCGUGUGUGAAGGAGGCUUUCGGGUUGUAAAGCACUUUCAGCGAGGAGGAAAGGGUAUUGCUUAAUAGGUAAUAUCUGUGACGUUACUCGGAGAAGAAGCACCGGCUAACUCCGUGCCAGCAGCCGCGGUAAUACGGAGGGUGCGAGCGUUAAUCGGAAUUACUGGGCGUAAAGCGCGCGUAGGUGGUUAAUUAAGUCAGAUGUGAAAUCCCAGGGCUCAACCUUGGAACUGCAUUUGAAACUGGUUAACUAGAGUUUUGUAGAGGGUGGUAGAAUUUCAGGUGUAGCGGUGAAAUGCGUAGAGAUCUGAAGGAAUACCAGUGGCGAAGGCGGCCACCUGGACAAAGACUGACACUGAGGCGCGAAGGCGUGGGGAGCAAACGGGAUUAGAUACCCCGGUAGUCCACGCAGUAAACGAUGUCUAUUAGAAUUUUGUGGCUAUAUGCCGUGGGAUUCAAAGCUAACGCAUUAAAUAGACCGCCUGGGGAGUACGGCCGCAAGGUUAAAACUCAAAUGAAUUGACGGGGGCCCGCACAAGCGGUGGAGCAUGUGGUUUAAUUCGAUGCAACGCGGAGAACCUUACCAUCCCUUGACAUCCAGAGAAUCACCAAGAGAUUGAUGAGUGCCUCCGGGAACUC
rnacentral:rRNA from 1 species